ACCGGAGGGGGCGAUCGUUAUCUAUCGUAACUGGGCGUAAAGUGUCCGUAGACCGUAAAGUAAGUUACUUAUUAAAACUUAAAGCCUAACUUUAAGCCAGUUUGUAAUACUGCUUUACUUGAGUUUUAUACAGAAAAGUAGAAUUCUAUACGUAAGGUUAAAAUCUUAAGAUAUAUAGAGGAAUACCAGCAGCGAAGGCGACUUUUUGGUAAAAACUGACGUUGAGGUACGAAAGUGUGGGGAGAAAACAGG
rnacentral:rRNA from 1 species